AGUGAACGCUGGCGGCAGGCCUAACACAUGCAAGUCGAGCGGCAGCGGGUUCCCGCGAGGGGAUGCCGGCGAGCGGCGGACGGGUGAGGAACACAUCGGAAUCUGCCUGGUUGUGGGGGAUAACGUAGGGAAACUUACGCUAAUACCGCAUGCGACCCUGAGUCGACGGACUGGGGGUGAAAGUGAGGGACCUUCGGCCUCACGCGACCAGAUGAGCCGAUGUCGGAUUAGCUAGUUGGCGGGGUAACGGCCCGCCAAGGCGACGAUCCGUAGCUGGUCUGAGAGGAUGAUCAGCCACACUGGGACUGAGACACGGCCCAGACUCCUACGGGAGGCAGCAGUGGGGAAUCUUGGACAAUGGGCGCAAGCCUGAUCCAGCCAUGCCGCG
rnacentral:rRNA from 1 species